AGUAUGCAAUCACGGCGCGUCCGGUCAAGCGAAAAUUAUUCAACGAAUAAUAAUCUCUUCGAUAAUCAUCCAUGGAGAUGUUCCAUUUACACUCGAUCGGUCCGGAAAUUAUCCCCCAGAUUAGUUUCCCAUGCGCCAUUCACAGCCAACGGUCAUGGCUGGCGAAAACAGAUUCUCCGUCUUGACCAUGCUCUGAGAAUUCUCCGGGAUUCUCCCUCGCUAUGGCACUGCCGAACGUCAUUCCGAAAAAUUUCCGAUAUUCCGGAUAAUUUUACGAGAGUAUCUGCCGGCCGGACGCGCCCCGCAAAAAUGGCAAAAGUGCCUUUAAAAAUGCCGGCAAAAAUGCCUUCACAAAUAAAACAGCGUCUUCAAAAAGCAGAUGCAUACAGCAGCUGAAAAGUGGGUGCAAGUGCCAGGAGCUGGGCUCACGGUUGCCACCAAUUUCAGAAAUAGUUUUCUUUAUGUACUUGAUUGCUACAAACGAAACAUACAAACUAUUAAUUUUGAGAGUAAUUGGCUAGGACCAAGUUGGUGGAGGACGUUGUAUAGCACAUUGGCGAGUAGCUGAUUUAUUACGUUUUUGAAUUCCCAGCACAACAAGGCCACCAACAGGAAUGGCGUCAUGUGUGUGGUAUCAGUGGGGUCAGGCCGGGGCAUGGAGUGUGCCAGGCACAUUUUCCAUCACAUGCCUUUUCCAGCCUGGCAGCCUAAACGAAAAGGCUUGGGGCCAAUGCUGUGCCCUCUCUGCAGCACAGGAAGGGUGUUACAGGCACCCCAGUGCUUCCCGUGUCUACACCAUCUCGAAGACCAGAAUCUGGCAAGAAGCUGGUGGUAUCCAGCAGCACGUACAUGAUCCUGCGACGCGCGAUGCGAAAGGCUGGCCCACCAACAGUCAAGUGUACCAUCCUGCAUCUUGCUAAAGGCUACCUGUGGGAACCUGGUGGUGGCGAUGGCGAAAGGGGCACGCCGGAGGCGACAAUGUGGGUGGCGAUGGCGACACGGGAGACGCUGCGCACUUGGCCAUGCCGAGUACAUUACGGACGUUUCAUUCGC